GAUGAAGAACGCAGCGAAAUGCGAUACUUGGUGUGAAUUGCAGAAUCCCGUGAACCAUCGAGUCUUUGAACGCAAGUUGCGCCUCAAGCCAUUAGGUUGAGGGCACGUCUGCCUGGGCGUCACAUAUCGUUGCCUGAUGCCAGUUUCCUCGUGAUGGGUGACUGUGCAGGGCGAAUGAUGGCUUCCCGUGAGCAUUGUUGCCUCAUGGUUGGUUGAAAAUUGAGUCCUUGGUAGGGAGCGCCGUGAUAGAUGGUGGUUGAGUGACGAACGAGACCCAAUCAUGUGAGACCCCUACCGAAUUCGGCCUUCAUGACCCACAUGCGUCUUUGGAACGCUCAUGACGAGACCUCAGGUCAGGCGGGGCUACCCGCUGAGUUUAAGCAUAUCAAUAAGCGGAGGA
rnacentral:misc_RNA from 1 species